ACAAAGGCUCUUUUAAGAGCCACCUAUGAGCCCAGUAAAAGGAGCU
rfam:Acanthisitta chloris contig117315, whole genome shotgun sequence.